AACGAACGCUGGCGGCAGGCCUAACACAUGCAAGUCGAGCGGACCCUUCGGGGUUAGCGGCGGACGGGUGAGUAACGCGUGGGAAUAUGCCCUUCUCUACGGAAUAGUCCUGGGAAACUGGGGGUAAUACCGUAUACGCCCUUUGGGGGAAAGAUUUAUCGGGGAAGGAUUAGCCCGCGUUGGAUUAGGUAGUUGGUGGGGUAAUGGCCUACCAAGCCGACGAUCCAUAGCUGGUUUGAGAGGAUGAUCAGCCACACUGGGACUGAGACACGGCCCAGACUCCUACGGGAGGCAGCAGUGGGGAAUCUUAGACAAUGGGGGCAAACCUGAUCUAGCCAUGCCGCGUGAGUGAUGAAGGCCUUAGGGUUGUAAAGCUCUUUCAGCUGGGAAGAUAAUGACGGUACCAGCAGAAGAAGCCCCGGCUAACUCCGUG
rnacentral:rRNA from 1 species